rnacentral:rRNA from 1 species
CUACGGGUGGCUGCAGUCGCGGAACUUUUACAAUGCACGCAAGUGUGAUAAAGCGAACCAAAGUGCCUUUCUUUUUGAAAGGCUUUUCUUUACUGUAAAAAUGUAGAGGAAUAAGGACUGGGAAAGACUGGUGCCAGCCGCCGCGGUAAUACCAGCAGUUCAAGUUGCAUCCCUUUUUAUUGGGUCUAAAACAUCCGUAGCUUGUUAUUUAAGUCUCUUGUGAAAUCCUACGUCUCAAGCGUGGGGCUUGCGGGAGAUACUGGAUAGCUAGAGAUCGGUAGACGUAAGGAGUACGCCGGGGGUAACGGUCAAAUGUGUUUAUCCUCGGUGGACUAACAAUGAGCGAAGGCACCUUACGAGGACGAACCUGACAGUGAGGGAUGAAGGCCAGGGGCGCAAAACGGAUUAGAUACCCCAGUAGUC